GUUUCUGUAGUGUAGUCGUUAUCACAUUCGCCUUGCACGUGAAAAGUCCCUGGUUCGAAACCGGGCAGAAACA